AUGGUGCUGAACUGGGAGAAAUGCCAUUUCAUGGUUAGAGAAGGCAUCGUUUUGGGCCACAAAAUUUCUGAGGAGGGAAUAGAGGUUGAUAAGGCUAAGGUUGACGUGAUGAUGCAGUUACAGCCACCAAAAACUGUCAAAGACAUCAGGAGUUUUCUUGGACAUGCAGGAUUUUACAGAAGAUUCAUCAAGGAUUUCUCCAAGUUGGCAAGACCGCUCACCAGACUGCUGUGCAAGGAAACCGAGUUUGCAUUUGAUGAUGAAUGUUUGACAGCCUUUAAGUUAAUCAAGGAAGCUUUGAUCACUGCACCAAUAGUCCAAGGUCCAAACUGGGACUUCCCAUUCGAGAUCAUGUGCGAUGCUUCAGAUUACGCAGUAGGAGCAGUCUUGGGCCAGCGGAUUGAUAAAAAGCUGCAUGUGAUCUACUACGCGAGCAGAACGAUGGAUGAUGCACAAGUAAGGUAUGCCACUACAGAGAAGGAACUGCUAGCUGUGGUAUUUGCAUUUGAAAAAUUUAGAAGCUACCUAGUGGGUUCUAAAGUGACAGUCUACACUGAUCAUGCUGCUCUGAGGCAUAUAUACGCGAAGAAGGAUACCAAACCUAGGCUGUUGAGAUGGAUCUUAUUG
rnacentral:sRNA from 1 species